ensembl:miRNA Mir532 microRNA 532
CAGAUUUGCUUUUUCUCUUUCAUGCCUUGAGUGUAGGACCGUUAACAUCCUAAUUACCCUCCCACACCCAAGGUUUGCAGGAGAGCAAGCCUCUCU